rnacentral:rRNA from 1 species
AUUGAACGCUGGCGGCAGGCCUAACACAUGCAAGUCGAGCGGAUGAGAGGAGCUUGCUUCUCGAUUCAGCGGCGGACGGGUGAGUAAUGCCUAGGAAUCUGCCUAGUAGUGGGGGACAACGUUUCGAAAGGAACGCUAAUACCGCAUACGUCCUACGGGAGAAAGUGGGGGAUCUUCGGACCUCACGCUACUAGAUGAGCCUAGGCCGGAUUAGCUAGUUGGUAGGGUAGAGGCCUACCAAGGCGACGAUCCGUAACUGGUCUGAGAGGAUGAUCAGUCACACUGGAACUGAGACACGGUCCAGACUCCUACGGGAGGCAGCAGUGGGGAAUAUUGGACAAUGGGCGCAAGCCUGAUCCAGCCAUGCCGCGUGUGUGAAGAAGGCCCUCGGGUCGUAAAGCACUUUAAGUUGGGAGGAAGGGCUUACAGCGAAUACCUGUGAGUUUUGACGUUACCGACAGAAUAAGCACCGGCUAACUUCGUGCCAGCCGCCGCGGUAA